UGGAUAAUAUGGACAACCACGGAGACCCUUUUUGGAUAUAUGGGAUAUAUUGGGUGGGUUGGGGUUGUAUAAGUGAGGUUUGAACCAGGGAUCCUGCUAUGGACACUAUUUACACUGUGUCACACUGUGCUGCUCACCCCCUACUGUGGAGGAGAAAGGGGGAGGACUGACUGAGACCGUGGAUUAAUUGCUGUGGAUCUGAAGGGCCUCUAUGGACAGUAUGGAGACCAGACUCUAUUGUGCCUGUUGACUUGACGCACAGAAUCACCAGAGAUGGAAUAUUAUGUUGACUUUAUACAGAAACUCCCGAGAGGAUUACUAUGUUUGUAGGCACCAAUGGUUUCAUCUUCUUCCUCUUCUUCUUCUUCUUCUUCUUCUCUACACCAGGAGUGGAUAUUAUUUCAGCUUUAAAUGAGUCUUUCUUACUUCAGGAUAUUCUGCUAUUGUCUAAAGACCAACUGGGGACAUACUGGCCAGCCAUAAACACACCAUUUUUAUUGUGGUAAUACAACAACAACAAAAAAAGACAACAAUAAUGCAAAGUUGGAUUAUUAAAAAAAAAAAAGAAAGAUGAUCAAUUCUGUGUAAAAUAUGUUAAAAAAGCAAGAGUGGGAAAAAAAGAUGCUAGAUGCUAUCCUAUUUCUUUUGUAAACUACAACAACAAAAUACCAUGUUUAAAUAAAUGAAUUNNNNNNNNNNCCCCCCCUUCCCGCAUACGGCAGUCCCUUUCUGGGUAGCUCUGUGCACUGACCCCCUUCCCCACCCGUCCUUCUCCUGCCCGUCCACAUUAUCUCAGCAGAGGGCCAAUUAGCCAUCAUCAUCUGGCCUGUUUUGUCGAGGCGCGUCAGGCAGCCGAACUCCCUCUGAUCCAAUAGUGGAUUUAAAUAAUGGAUCUGUAAUCAGGAGGCUGUUAAUUAUGAGUCUCUGGCGAACCCUCUGUCAACUUAAUCUGAUGACGAGGCAGGCCGAGGCAGACCACUCUAUCAACUCAAUGUGAUGCUGACGAGGCGGAGGCAGAGUGAGAGACAGACAGGGAGGACAGUGAGGGAGUAAUUAAGUGAAGGGGGAAGGGGGGGGGGUAUGCAUGGGAAUCAUGCCUGUUUGGGUGUCGCUUUAAUGAUGUGUCAUGUUGUGUGUGUGUGUGUGUGUGUGUGUGUGUGUGUGUGU
rnacentral:lncRNA from 13 species